rnacentral:rRNA from 1 species
UCCUAAGCUGAGGCCGACAGGCGUAGGCGAUGGAUAACAGGUUGAUAUUCCUGUACCACCAUUAUUCGUUUUAAGCGAUGGGGGGACGCAGUAGGAUAGGCGAAGCGUGCUGUUGGAGUGCACGUCCAAGCAGUGAGAUUGAGUGUUAGGCAAAUCCGGCACUCUUAAGAUUGAGCUGUGAUGGGGAGAGGAACUUGUUCCUCGAGUCGUUGAUUUCACACUGCCGAGAAAAGCCUCUAGCUAGAAUAACGGUGCCCGUACCGCAAACCGACACAGGUAGUCAAGAUGAGAAUUCUAAGGUGAGCGAGCGAACUCUCGUUAAGGAACUCGGCAAAAUGACCCCGUAACUUCGGGAGAAGGGGUGCUCUUUGAGGUUCACGCUUCGAAGAGCCGCAGUGAAUAGGCCCAAGCGACUGUUUAUCAAAAACACAGGUCUCUGCUAAACCGUAAGGUGACGUAUAGGGGCUGACGCCUGCCCGGUGCUGGAAGGUUAAGAGGAGUGGUUAGCGCAAGCGAAGCUACGAAUCGAAGCCCCAGUAAACGGCGGCCGUAACUAUAACGGUCCUAAGGUAGCGAAAUUCCUUGUCGGGUAAGUUCCGACCCGCACGAAAGGCGUAACGAUUUGGGCACUGUCUCAACGAGAGACUCGGUGAAAUCAUAGUACCGGUGAAGAUGCCGGUUACCCGCGACAGGACGGAAAGACCCCGUGGAGCUUUACUGUAGCCUGAUAUUGAAAUUCGGUACAGUUUGUACAGGAUAGGUAGGAGCCUUAGAAGCGUGAGCGCUAGCUUACGUGGAGGCAUUGGUGGGAU